rnacentral:tRNA from 1 species
GUCCCCGUAGCUCAACUGGAUAGAGCGGCGGUUUCCUAAACCGUAUAUCCCGGUUCAAGUCCGGGCGGGGGCACCA